GGAAAUAGCAACUUGCUCCAGAAUUCUUGCCUGUAAAAAUCCCACCAACAGAAGAACCUGGUGGGCUACAGUCCAUGGGGUUGCAAAUAGUCGGACACAACUGAGUGACUGAGCUCACACACACCUGUAACUGAGCCGUCAACCCUAGAAUGACCAAUGGUUGCCAUUUCUAACCCCAGAGGAGCAAAAGAAAACUGUGCUUAGAAAACAAAAUAAAUCAAAGGUCUCCGAGUCUCUUCAUUCAGAAAGGUGAACUAGGAAACACCCCAUGGAGAGAAGUACAGGUUAGAAAAAUAAAUCAAGAUCAGAUGAUAUUUGGUAAAUUUAAUUUACAGCUUUAUAGGAUGAAUACAGAGAGCCACAAAGAAAUAUCCUACCAAUCUCUAGCUUCCUGGUGAAUUUUAACUGCAAAGUGUGAGAGAAAAGCAUGAAAUAUUUUGAAAAAGGCAUGGAUUUAAGUACAGAUUCUAGGAAAAAUCCCUCACUCACUGUCCUGCCUCACGCUCUUGGAUGAAAACCCCAAUUCUGCCCAAGAUCCUUGGGGGAAGAAGGUUUUAUGAUUUCUAGAAGCCUUGGACUUUAAUUCUUUCCCAGUGUGGGGGAAAGCAGAAGAGAGGAGUGGUGUUCUGAGAUAAAUUCAGAUUAUUGAGCUGCAGGAAUGGCCUCCGGGGUCCCUAUUCCCCUGGUGUGAUAACUGACCGCUAAAUGAGCUUUGGAAGUUGGAAGCAGGAAUAAUACUUUCAAGUUGCCCAAAUCAUGCCAGCUGGGCUCACCUCUGCUUCCCACUUCCUCCUCCCUGCCGCUGUCAUUUGGAUCUUUCUCGUCACUGGAAUUUGAUCUUCUUCGAGUGCAUCUCCAGAUACUUUCCAAAUGAUGACGUUACUGGAAGCUCAGUGUGCCAACCAGGAGGACAGUGAAGGGGGACUCAGGCUGGGCCUAACACUCGUGGGCACAAAUCCUGGCUCAGCCAGUGACCAGCAGAGCCCCUUAGACAGGACACUUCACCACCCUGCAUGGUGGUUCUCUCGCCUCCUUGCAGCUCGUUGCCCUAAUAAGGAAGUGACUACCUCAUUACAUCUGGCUCCAAACAAGACGCAAGGAUAGAAGGACUCUGUCCUCUGGCUGCUGGGGAAGCUGCUGCCAACAGCCCCCUAUACCCCCGAGAUCCUCUGGAAUUGCCUUCACUGAGGGAAGCUCCUGGCCCAGGUUGCAGCCCCUGCCAGGACCCUUCAGCCAAGAUCAACACGCAGUAUAAAGUCUUAGCCCACAUUUCCCAACCUGAGACUCAGAUGGGUCAUCUCAGCUUCAGAACCAAGGGGCUUAACUGUGACUUCUUGGAGACUGCGUCUCAGCACAGCUUCUACUCAGCCCCAGAAGGUGAUGUUUUCCUCUGAGUCACACCCCAGUAAACUUCCUGCACAUCAGUCUCCAUCCUAGCAUCUGUGUCCUAGGGAACCGCACCUGCAAUAUCUGUAAUGAGGUAGAGUGGUGAAGACACAGUUUGGUGGAUGAAAAAGUGCACAUUAAAUAGGUUGAGAGCAAUACAAGAUGAUGUCUAACAAAGAGUCAUAAGUCAGUAUUCAAAAAACACAGGAGGUAACUUCAGUAGGGAGAGAGCAGUGAGGUGGGGCUUCCUGGAGGAGGUGUUGUAAGUAUUGGGACUUGUUGGUGGGUAGGCUCUGUAAAGAAGAAAGAAAAACACAGGAGGCUAGGAUAGAAACUGCUUUCCACAGCAACUGCACCCUUUUACAUUCUACCCAGCCAAGUGUGAGAGUUACAAUUUCUCCACAUCCUCACCAGCACUUGUUUUUAAAACUAUACACAUCCUAGUAGGUGUGAAGUGGUAACUCAUUGUGGUUCAUAUUUCAUUCCUAAUUGUAGAAAUAUGUGUAUAUCUCUUUUCCCUUUCUUUGCAACAGUUUUAAUAAACUAGCUUUCUAUUGAUUUUUUUUGCAAAUCUUUUAAAAAAUAGAUAAAUUUGACCUAAGCUGCCUUAAAGGAGCUCACAUUUAUA